GGGAAAUCUAAACUACUUGUCUUAAGAGAUUUUCAGUGAUUAAAUAUUUCAUACAAUUGUUCUUUGACCUCUUAGCCAAAAGCACAGGUCAUAAUAAACUACACAAGGAUUCCUAAUGAGCACUACUUCCUAUGUGUAACUUCAAAACUUUUGGGUGAUUAGACGAUCAUUUAAGGUUUUUCUGGUCAUAUUUUUUGUAAUCCAGAAUAAAAAGUAUUAAAAAAGUGUUCAAUUAGUUAUAUAUAACAUAGUAGCCAGCUAGAUAAUAACAAUGGCAAGUAUUUCAGCAUUUGUUGGGUAGAACACAAAUCUAGGGUGCUCACAUAAUGCAGCUUAACUGCAUAAAAAU
rnacentral:lncRNA from 1 species